GACGAACGCUGGCGGCGUGCCUAAUACAUGCAAGUUGAGCGCUGAAGGUUGGUACUUGUACCAACUGGAUGAGCAGCGAACGGGUGAGUAACGCGUGGGGAAUCUGCCUUUGAGCGGGGGACAACAUUUGGAAACGAAUGCUAAUACCGCAUAAAAACUUUAAACACAAGUUUUAAGUUUGAAAGAUGCAAUUGCAUCACUCAAAGAUGAUCCCGCGUUGUAUUAGCUAGUUGGUGAGGUAAAGGCUCACCAAGGCGAUGAUACAUAGCCGACCUGAGAGGGUGAUCGUCCACAUUGGGACUGAGACACGGCCCAAACUCCUACGGGAGGCAGCAGUAGGGAAUCUUCGGCAAUGGACGAAAGUCUGACCGAGCAACGCCGCGUGAGUGAAGAAGGUUUUCGGAUCGUAAAACUCUGUUGGUAGAGAAGAACGUUGGUGAGAGUGGAAAGCUCAUCAAGUGACGGUAACUACCCAGAAAGGGACGGCUAACUACGUG
rnacentral:rRNA from 1 species